UACAGAGGUCUCAAGCGUUGUUCGGAAUCACUGGGCGUAAAGGGUGCGUAGGCCGCACGGUAAGUCAGGUGUGAAAGCCCGGAGCUCAACUUCGGAAUUGCACCCGAUACUGCCGUGCUUGAGGACUGGAGAGGAGUCUGGAAUUCACAGUGGAGCAGUGAAAUGCGUAGAUAUUGUGAGGAACACUAGUGGCGAAGGCGAGACUCUGGACAGUUCCUGACGCUGAGGCACGAAGGCCAGGGGAGCAAACAGG
rnacentral:rRNA from 1 species